rnacentral:rRNA from 1 species
GGAGUAUUCGGGUUCCGGGGGGAGUAUGGUCGCAAGGCCGAAACUUAAAGGAAUUGACGGAAGGGCACCACCAGGAGUGGAAUCUGCGGCUUAAUUUGACCCAACGCGGGAAAACUCACCAGGUCAGGACACGGUAAGGAUUGACGGACUGAAGGCUCUUUCUCGAUUCCGUGGAAAGUGGUGCAUGGCCGUUUUUGGUUGGUGGAUCGAUCCGUCUGGUUAAUUCCGUUAACGAACGAGACCUCGGCACUCCGAAUAGCGCGGCGGACGUCGCGGCCUCCGGGCCGUCUUCCGCACGAGCUUCUUAGAGGGACCGUCCCCCGCCGGGGAAGGAGGUGCGAGGCAACGACAGGUCUGUGAUGCCCUUAGAUGUUCUGGGGCCGCACGCGCAUUACACUGACGCGUCCAACGGGUGACUCCCGACCGAAGGGGCCGGGGAAUCCGCAAGGCGCGUCGUGAUGGGGAUUGAACGUUGCAAUUGUUGUUCACGAACGAGGAAUUCCUAGUAGGCGCGGGUCAUCAACCCGCGCCGAUUACGUCCCUGCCCUUUGUACACACCG